GACAGAGGCCUCAAGCGUUUAGGCGGAAUCACUGGGCUUAAAGCGUGUGUAGGCGGAUCGUUAAGUGUCUUGUGAAAUCCCACGGCUCACCCGUGGAACUGCUGGGCAUACUGGCGAUCUUGGGCCAACUAGGGGCAACUGGAACAAGCGGUGGAGCGGUGAAAUGCGUAGAUAUCGCUUGGAACGCCAAAGGGUGAAAACAGGUUGCUGGGGUUGUGCCGACG
rnacentral:rRNA from 1 species